CAGGGAUUGCCCUAGUAACGGCGAGUGAAGCGGCAACAGCUCAAAUUUGAAAUCUGGCUCCGGCCCGAGUUGUAAUUUGCAGAGGAAGCUUCUGGUGAUAUACUGUCUAAGUCCCCUGGAACGGGGCGCCACAGUGGGUGAGAGCCCCAUUUGACAGCUGUAGAUCCUGUGUGAAGCUCCUUCGACGAGUCGAGUAGUUUGGGAAUGCUGCUCAAAAUGGGAGGUAAAUUCCUUCUAAAGCUAAAUAUUGGCCAGAGACCGAUAGCGCACAAGUAGAGUGAUCGAAAGAUGAAAAGCACUUUGAAAAGAGAGUUAAACAGCACGUGAAAUUGUUGAAAGGGAAGCGCUUGUGACCAGACUUGCGCUGGGCUGAUCAUCCGGUGUUCUCACCGGUGCACUCGGCCCAGCUCAGGCCAGCAUCGGUUUUGGUGGGGGGAUAAAGGCGCUGGGAACGUAGCUCCUCCGGGAGUGUUAUAGCCCAGCGUGCAAUACCCCCGCUGGGACCGAGGUUCGCGCAUCUGCAAGGAUGCUGGCGUAAUGGUCAUCAGCGACCCGUCUUGAAACACGGACCAAGGAGUCAAGGUUUUGCGCGAGUGUUUGGGUGUCAAACCCGCACGCGUAAUGAAAGUGAACGUAGGUGAGAGCUUCGGCGCAUCAUCGACCGAUCCUGAUGUAUUCGGAUGGAUUUGAGUAGGAGCGUUAAGCCUUGGACCCGAAAGAUGGUGAACUAUGCUUGGAUAGGGUGAAGCCAGAGGAAACUCUGGUGGAGGCUCGCAGCGGUUCUGACGUGCAAAUCGAUCGUCAAAUCUGAGCAUGGGGGCGAAAGACUAAU
rnacentral:rRNA from 1 species